AGCGGCGGACGGGUGAGUAACGCGUGGGUAACCUGCCUCAUACAGGGGGAUAACAGUUAGAAAUGGCUGCUAAUACCGCAUAAGACCACAGCACCGCAUGGUGCGGGGGUAAAAACUCCGGUGGUAUGAGAUGGACCCGCGUCUGAUUAGCUUGUUGGCGGGGUAACGGCCCACCAAGGCGACGAUCAGUAGCCGGCCUGAGAGGGCGACCGGCCACAUUGGGACUGAGACACGGCCCAA
rnacentral:rRNA from 1 species